GAUGAAGAACGCAGCGAAAUGCGAUAAGUAAUGUGAAUUGCAGAAUUCAGUGAAUCAUCGAAUCUUUGAACGCACAUUGCGCCCGCCAGUAUUCUGGCGGGCAUGCCUGUUCGAGCGUCAUUACAACCCUCAGGCCCCCGGGCCUGGCGUUGGUGAUCGGCGGAGCCCCCCGUGGGCACACGCCGUCCCCCAAAUGCAGUGGCGGUCCCGCCGCAGCUUCCAUCGCGUAGUAGCUAACACCUCGCGACUGGAGAGCGGCGCGGCCACGCCGUAAAACACCCAACUCUUCUGAAGUUGACCUCGAAUCAGGUAGGAAUACCCGCUGAACUUAAGCAUAUCAAUAAGCGGAGGA
rnacentral:misc_RNA from 1 species